rnacentral:tRNA from 1 species
GGUGGCUCAGUGGUAGAGUGCAUGCCUUGUAGGCAUAAGACCUUGGGUUCAACCCCCCAGCACCA